UACGUAGGGUGCAAGCGUUAUCCGGAAUUAUUGGGCGUAAAGAGCUCGUAGGCGGUUUGUCACGUCUGCUGUGAAAACUGGAGGCUCAACCUCCAGCCUGCAGUGGGUACGGGCAGACUAGAGUGCGGUAGGGGAGACUGGAAUUCCUGGUGUAGCGGUGAAAUGCGCAGAUAUCAGGAGGAACACCGGCGGCGAAGGCGGGUCUCUGGGCCAUAACUGACGCUGAGGAGCGAAAGCGUGGGGAGCAAACAGG
rnacentral:rRNA from 1 species